CCUACGGGGGACAGCAGUAGGGAAUUUUCGGCAAUGGGGGGAACCCUGACCGAGCAACGCCGCGUGAACGAAGAAGUUAUUCGUAAUGUAAAGUUCUUUUAACAGGGAAGAAAGAGAAAUUUGACGGUACCUGAAGAAUAAGCUCCGGCUAACUACGUGCCAGCAGCCGCGGUAAUACGUAGGGAGCGAGCGUUAUCCGGAAUUAUUGGGCGUAAAGGGUGCGUAGAUGGCAUAGUAAGUCUUUUGUAAAAAUGCUGGGCUCAACCCGGUAGGGCAAAAGAUACUGCAAAGCUAGAGUAUGACAGAGGCAAGUGGAACUACAUGUGUAGCGGUAAAAUGCGUAAAUAUAUGUAAGAACACCAGUGGCGAAGGCGACCUGCUAGAACAUAACUGACGCUGAUGCGCGAAAGCGUGGGGAGCAAACAGGAUUAGAUACCCUGGUAGUC
rnacentral:rRNA from 1 species